CUCUUUUACAGACACCUUAAAUUCCACUCUUUUUCUUUCAGUGCUAUUGAACGACCUUGCCCGCUGUGGCAGUGGAAAGCGCGAUGUUCUUGGCCAUAUCAGUGGCAGGCAGGCAGUUGGCGAUAGUGCAACUUAUGUUUCCCGCUGUCCUCCAGCCAAUAAAUUGACUGACAUGCCCAUGGCCACGCCCGCUGCAUAGUGUCCUGCGUGGCGUAUACGCUAUGUGCUCUUUGCUCCGUGUCUGCAAUCCUGCGGGUCUCAUUUUCGGAGCUCGUUAGUUGCCACCAGAGGGAUAGGACAAUGUGCAACAGAACCCACAGAAAGCCACCAUCCAUGGGGUGGGCAAAGUGUUUGGGUUCGGAUCAACAUUUGCCUGCGCUCAUUUAAAAGUUAUGCGACAAUAUUUUGCGUGCAACUUUUACAGCGAUGUGGCGUGGCGAUAAUUAGCGGUUUUUAGUGUGCCACUAUGCUGGUCAGGGGCGAAUAUUGGUUAAUUAUGGACCAUGAAAAAUCUAUGAAAACCAUCGGGCUGGCGGUUUGGGGCUUUUGGCUUUUUAGUUCGAUCGCAUUCCAUAUUGUUGUGCUGUGCGCGCUAGCAGAUAAACUAUUUAUUUCAAUGAAAAAAUUUCCUGAUGCAAGGCAAAACAUUUUUAAUCACAUUGAAUGAAACUGGAUUAAUUAUGAAUCGAUAUUCUGGCCAAUGCCAUGGAUUAAGUUGGCUCAAAUUCCAGGUGUUUUCACCGAAAAUGUUGUGAUUAAAUUUAUAAUAGGCCAUAAUGAAAUGUUUGAAAUUUUCCAAUGCAACAUACAAUUAUAAUUUUGAGUAUUAGCAAAGAAGAAAUGUCCUCUGACGGACAAUUAAAAAUAGAUAGCAUGGCUAUGAGAUUCUAUGCAAAACAUUUUUAGACCAAAACAAAUUUCAUUUCAAUAAAUACGUUUAAUAAAAAUGAAUUUAAUUUUAUUGAUUGCUUGAAAUUAAGUUUCAGAAGAUAUAUUCACAAAACUAUAAAUUGGUUAUUUUCAACACUAAACACUAUGAACUUGGACACCAACUUAAAAGCUGAAAAUACUUUAUAUUUCCAGUCAACAAAAUCAACAAGAAAUGUGCAAAGGCGAAAUAAAAGGCGGAAGCAGAGCUUGCCGUUGCUAUGCUAAAUAAGCGCAUCAGCAGACGCUUAAAUAAGCUUAGUUAAAAGGCGGCUAGAGUGGGCGGGGCAGAGUGGAUGGCGGUA